UACGUAGGGGGCAAGCGUUGUCCGGAAUCAUUGGGCGUAAAGAGCGUGUAGGCGGUCCUUUAAGUCUGAUGUGAAAGCCCACGGCUCAACCGUGGAGGGUCAUUGGAAACUGGGGGACUUGAGUGCAGGAGAGAAGAGUGGAAUUCCACGUGUAGCGGUGAAAUGCGUAGAGAUGUGGAGGAACACCAGUGGCGAAGGCGACUCUUUGGCCUGUAACUGACGCUGAGGCGCGAAAGCGUGGGGAGCAAACAGG
rnacentral:rRNA from 1 species